rnacentral:rRNA from 1 species
AGGACGAACGCUGGCGGCACGCUUAACACAUGCAAGUCGAACGGAGAUAUUUGAGUUACUAGGAUAGUCUUAGUGGCGGACGGGUGAGUAACACGUGAGCAACCUGCCUUGGAGAGAGGGAUAGCUUCUGGAAACGGAUGGUAAUACCUCAUAACAUACAGAGACCGCAUGAUUUCUGUAUCAAAGAUUUAUCACGUCUGAGAUGGGCUCGCGUCUGAUUAGCUAGAUGGUGAGGUAACGGCCCACCAUGGCGACGAUCAGUAGCCGGACUGAGAGGUUGAACGGCCACAUUGGGACUGAGACACGGCCCAGACUCCUACGGGAGGCAGCAGUGGGGAAUAUUGCACAAUGGGGGAAACCCUGAUGCAGCGAUGCCGCGUGGAGGAAGAAGGUUUUCGGAUUGUAGACUCCUGUCUUAAAGGACGAUAAUGACGGUACUUUAGGAGGAAGCUCCGGCUAACUACGUGCCAGCCGCAGC